GUGCUGGGGGAGCGAGGGACGGCGAGUGGGCGAAGGAAAGAGGAGGAAAAGGAGAGGGGCAGAUACCAGGAGAGCAGAGUUCUCACAGAUCUCGCUGCAUUUGUGUGAUAAGAGAGGAAAUCAGGGCUUCAGAUGAGGGAAAUUGCAGAGGGACACGUAUCACCUUCCUUUACGUUGUGAGAGGCGGAUCACAAGAAGCGCACAGAGACGGGAAAGAGAUGGGAUGUGAGGAGACGUCUUGAAAUGUACUCGGAAUAACCUCCUCAGAAAAUGUUAUGAUAUCCUCACUUAUGAAAAUGACUGUUUCUGCUUCGUUUCAGAUUUAUUUCGCCGGAUUUUUCAGGAGGAGGCUUCAUAAUGAAACCAGGUGAAGUCGAAACAUCCACGCUGCAGAGAAACAGACCCUCAGGCAGUAACAGUGUGCAGAGACACAACCCUGUGAGUGCAGGUUCACAGACCUGAUCCCUGCAAACCCACAUGUGUGCUCAUCAACAG
rnacentral:lncRNA from 1 species